rnacentral:rRNA from 1 species
CCGGAGGAAGGUGGGGACGACGUCAAGUCAUCAUGGCCCUUACGUGUAGGGCUACACACGUGCUACAAUGGCGCAUACAGAGUGCUGCGAACUCGCGAAAGUAAGCGAAUCACUUAAAGUGCGUCGUAGUCCGGAUUGGAGUCUGCAACUCGACUCCAUGAAGUCGGAAUCGCUAGUAAUCGCGUAUCAGAAUGACGCGGUGAAUACGUUCCCGGGCCUUGUACACACCGCCCGUCACACCAUGGGAGUGGGUUGCUCCAGAAGUAGAUAGUCUAACCCUCGGGAGGACGUUACCUUUAA